rnacentral:rRNA from 1 species
CUUGGUCAUUUAGAGGAAGUAAAAGUCGUAACAAGGUCUCCGUAGGUGAACCUGCGGAGGGAUCAUUACAAGUGACCCCGGUUUACCACCGGGAUGUUCAUAACCCUUUGUUGUCCGACUCUGUUGCCUCCGGGGCGACCCUGCCUUCGGGCGGGGGCUCCGGGUGGACACUUCAAGCUCUUGCGUAACUUUGCAGUCUGAGUAAACUUAAUUAAUAAAUUAAAACUUUUAACAACGGAUCUCUUGGUUCUGGCAUCGAUGAAGAACGCAGCGAAAUGCGAUAAGUAAUGUGAAUUGCAGAAUUCAGUGAAUCAUCGAAUCUUUGAACGCACAUUGCGCCCCCUGGUAUUCCGGGGGGCAUGCCUGUUCGAGCGUCAUUUCACCACUCAAGCCUUGCUUGGUAUUGGGCAACGCGGUCCGCCGCGUGCCUCAAAUCGACCGGCUGGGUCUUCUGUCCCCUAAGCGUUGUGGAAACUAUUCGCUAAAGGGUGUUCGGGAGGCUACGCCGUAAAACAACCCCAUUUCUAAGGUUGACCUCGGAUCAGGUAGGGAUACCCGCUGAACUUAAGCAUAUCAAUAAGCGGAG